UUCGCUUCCGGUUCGCGCGGUAAAUUGGACUGCGUUGUGUUCUGGAGCAUGGGUACGGAUUCUGGUUCCACUCGGGACUGAUCGGCCCGGUUGUCGUUGUUCUG
rnacentral:sRNA from 1 species